rnacentral:rRNA from 1 species
UUAAGUGGCGGACGGGUGGAGUAACGCGUGGGUAACCUGCCUUGUACUGGGGGACGAACAGUUGGAAACGACUGCUAAUACCGCAUAAGCGCACAGCUUCGCAUGAAGCAGUGUGAAAAACUACCGGUGGUACAAGAUGGACCCGCGUCUGAUUAGCUGGUUGGUGAGGUAACGGCCCACCAAGGCGACGAUCAGUAGCCGGCCUGAGAGGGUGAACGGCCACAUUGGGACUGAGACACGGCCCAAACUCCUACGGGAGGCAGCAUG